rnacentral:rRNA from 1 species
CAGCACCUCAAGUAGUCAGGAUGAUUAUUGGGCCUAAAGCAUCCGUAGCCGGCGCUGUAAGUUUUCGGUUAAAUCUGUACGCUCAACGUACAGGCUGCCGGGAAUACUGCAGCGCUAGGGAGUGGGAGAGGUAGACGGUACUCGGUAGGAAGGGGUAAAAUCCUUUGAUCUAUUGAUGACCACCUGUGGCGAAGGCGGUCUACCAGAACACGUCCGACGGUGAGGGAUGAAAGCUGGGGGAGCAAACCGGAUUAGAGACCCGAGUAGUCC